rnacentral:tRNA from 1 species
CGCCCCCCGUGGGGCUCGAACCCACGACCGCGCGGUUAAAAGCCGCGCGCUCUACCGACUGAGCUAGGAAAUCGA